rnacentral:rRNA from 1 species
GAGUUUGAUCAUGGCUCAGAUUGAACGCUGGCGGCAGGCCUAACACAUGCAAGUCGAGCGGAUGACGGGAGCUUGCUCCUUGAUUCAGCGGCGGACGGGUGAGUAAUGCCUGGGAAUCUGCCUGGUAGUGGGGGACAACGUUUCGAAAGGAACGCUAAUACCGCAUACGUCCUACGGGAGAAAGCAGGGGACCUUCGGGCCUUGCGCUAUCAGAUGAGCCUAGGUCGGAUUAGCUAGUUGGUGGGGUAAUGGCUCACCAAGGCGACGAUGCGUAGCCGACCUGAGAGGGUGAACGGCCACAUUGGAACUGAGAUACGGUCCAGACUCCUACGGGAGGCAGCAGUGGGGAAUAUUGCACAAUGGGGGAAACCCUGAUGCAGCAACGCCGCGUGAGUGAAGAAGGUUUUCGGAUCGUAAAGCUCUGUCAUCCGGGACGAUAAUGACGGUACCGGAAGAGGAAGCCACGGCUAACUACGUGCCAGCCGCCGCGGUAAC